rnacentral:rRNA from 1 species
CCUACGGGAGGCAGCAGUGAGGAAUAUUGGUCAAUGGGCGCGAGCCUGAACCAGCCAAGUCGCGUGAGGGAUGACUGCCCUACGGGUUGUAAACUUCUUUUAUAAGGGAAUAAAGUGUGGCACGCGUGCCUUUUUGUCUGUACUUUAUGAAUAAGGAUCGGCUAACUCCGUGCCAGCAGCCGCGGUAAUACGGAGGAUCCGAGCGUUAUCCGGAUUUAUUGGGUUUAAAGGGGGCGGAGGUGGGUUGUUAAGUCAGGUGUGAAAGUUUGGGGCUCAACCGUAGAAUUGCAAUUGAUACUGGCAGUCUUGAGUAGAGUUGAGGUAGGCGGAAUUCGUGGUGUAGCGGUGAAAUGCUUAGAUAUCACGAAGAACUCCGAUUGCGAAGGCAGCUUAC